UGGGGAAUUUUCCGCAAUGGGCGAAAGCCUGACGGAGUGACGCCGCGUGUGGGACGAAGGCCUUCGGGUCGUAAACCACUGUCAGUGGGAAAGAAGGAUGUCGGUGCUAAUACCACCGGCAUUUGACGGUACCUGCAGAGGAAGCCCCGGCCAACUCUGUGCCAGCAGCCGCGGUAAGACAGAGGGGGCAAGCUUUGCUCGGAAUUACUGGGCGUAAAGGGCGCGUAGGCGGGAUGGCAAGUCGGUCGUGAAAUCCUUCGGCUCAACCGAAGAACGUCGAUCGAUACUGCUGUUCUUGAGGGUUGCAGAGGAGACUGGAAUUCCCGGUGUAGCGGUGAAAUGUGUAGAGAUCGGGAGGAACACCGGUGGCGAAGGCGGGUCUCUGGGCAAUUCCUGACGCUGAGGCGCGAAAGCGUGGGGAGCAAACGGG
rnacentral:rRNA from 1 species